rnacentral:rRNA from 1 species
UGGGGAAUUUUGGACAAUGGGCGAAAGCCUGAUCCAGCAAUGCCGCGUGUGUGAAGAAGGCCUUCGGGUUGUAAAGCACUUUUGUCCGGAAAGAAAUCCUUGGCUCUAAUACAGUCGGGGGAUGACGGUACCGGAAGAAUAAGCACCGGCUAACUACGUGCCAGCAGCCGCGGUAAUACGUAGGGUGCAAGCGUUAAUCGGAAUUACUGGGCGUAAAGCGUGCGCAGGCGGUUUGCUAAGACCGAUGUGAAAUCCCCGGGCUCAACCUGGGAACUGCAUUGGUGACUGGCAGGCUAGAGUAUGGCAGAGGGGGGUAGAAUUCCACGUGUAGCAGUGAAAUGCGUAGAGAUGUGGAGGAAUACCGAUGGCGAAGGCAGCCCCCUGGGCCAAUACUGACGCUCAUGCACGAAAGCGUGGGGGAGCAAACAGGAUUAGAUACCCUGGUAGUCCACGCCCUAAACGAUGUCAACUAGUUGUUGGGGAUUCAUUUCCUUAGUAACGUAGCUAACGCGUGAAGUUGACCGCCUGGGGAGUACGGUCGCAAGAUUAAAACUUAAAUGAAUUGACGGGGUCAUA